UGCUUUAUCACUGGGAGUUUCCUUAUUAUUUUAAAAAUAAGUUAGUGUUUUGGAGGAGGAAAUAACAUUUCCCCGAGAUUUAGGGGAACACUGCAGCUAACAAGGCCCUCUGAAACGGCACCAAACAGAAGAACAUGUUAAGACACUAUCCUUAUUAGGAUGGUGGGGCGCUUCCUCUGUCUCGUGGUUAAUUCCGGGCGCUUCUCUCCUUCAGAUUCCUGACUUCCUCUGAUGGCAUUUGAGGGGGAGAGGAUAAGCCAAGGGAAGAGGAAAAUCAAAAUGCUUUCAGCAGCACGGCUUCCGCAUGCUGGAGAGGUGGUGUAUGGGGUUGCGGCUUGGCCUGUUUUCUGAAACCUGCAAGGUAGCACCCUGAAGGUAGCUUGUAACCCUCCACUCUCACACCAAGGUAAUACCUCCUUCCUGUCUGGCCACCUGUCACAGCCAGUGGAAGUAGGGUUUGGAGGGAUGGUUGGGACAUCCUUACACAAUGUUAGGUGGAGACUUAGUGAUGGCUUCGGGGGAAGGCAGAGGGAGUCUCUCUUGCGUCAGGGGGGUGGAAGCACCGCUGCCAUGAUCAAGCCCUUUGGAUGAAAGGAGGGCUGUGAGAUUUGCUGCCCAGAUGUGGGUUUGCAAAUGACCUUGUUGGUCUGUUACCCUGGCCUAGCUCAUAGAAGCUUUCUUCUCCUGUGGCUUGGGAGAGAGCCACCGUAAAAGACAAGCUGUGGCUAGUAAGCAUCUUCUAUGUGCUCUGGACUGUCUCAUGCAAGAGCUAGGGCAUAGGAUCCUCAUGAUGGCCCUUCAAGAGGGGUUAAUCUUGUCGUUGUUGCACUUCUAUGAGGAAACAGACCAUGUGAGGCUAAGUAACUUGCUCAAGGUCACACAGGGGUGAUUGAUGGGGUCACCCAGACUGUCUGACUCUUGUGUGGGUAUGGCUGCCCUCCUUGUCAGCCGGCGGGGUAUAGAGGCUGGCCCUCCAUUCUUGAUUUGCUCAGUAAUGGGGGCAGGACAACUCCACCUCCUUCUUCCCAAAGGAAAGUUGAGCUCAUUUUGGAAAGAAAGCAAACAGCCGUUCUCCUCUGGGGCUCUAUCCGGGGACAGGGCAGAAAGGAAAUCCAGUACACUGCGGAAGGAGUCAUUUUUUGGCCUGGUUCUCACCACCCAUCUCUAGUUCAAACCCUGCUUUUAGCAUAUCUGUGUUGAUGGGGCAGGGCCUGGGAAUCACGAUUUGCCUUUAAGAAGUGGAUGCACUUGGAGAGGCUGGCGCUUCCACCAACCAGGAAGAGCUGGGGGCACCCUGCUUGCUCUCCGAAACUUCACAGAAAGCCCCAAGAGCUGGGGAUGUGGGUUCUGUUCUGGAUCUCCAAGAGACGACGUCAUGCUAGAAUGUUCCCUUCAUUUUUGAAAACUGCACUCCUGCCUGGGGCCAUCUCGUGUCUUCAAUGGCUAAAGUAGAUGCUGAUUUGGGCAACCAGCUUUCUUUUCUGUUUUGAAAAUUAAUGCACCUGUGUAGUCACCCAGGCUUGAUAGUUGCAACAAUAACUCAUGGACAAGUUGUGUGACUGGUGGUAGUGACUCCAUUUGCUCACACCUCCUUGGAUUCAGUCCCUGGUGUAGUUCCCUCCCACACUGACUGUGGGUUUGGCCAGGUGACUUGCUUUGGCCAAUGGGACACCAUCAACCAUGAUUAGCAGAGGUUUGAAAAGUGCUUGUGCAUUGAGAUUUGCCCUCUCACGCUGUUCUUGGGACCCUUACAACUGCCAACAUGUGAAUGUGCCUGGGUUAGGCAGGUGGAGGUAUGUGGCCCAGUCACCACUGCCACCCAGCUGACAACCAGCACCAACCACCAGACACACUGCAUGAGGCCAUCCUAGACCAUUCGGUUCCCAGGUGACCUGCCAGCUGGUCACAGGUGAGUCCAGCAGAAGAACUGCCCAACCCAGCCCAGCCCAAAUUGCAGAUCUGCAGAAUCAUGGGCU
ensembl:lncRNA novel transcript